rnacentral:rRNA from 1 species
UCGAGGAUCUUCGGCAAUGGGCGCAAGCCUGACCGAGCGACGCCGCGUGCGCGAUGAAGGCCUUCGGGUUGUAAAGCGCUGUCGAGGGGGAGGAAAGCCGCAAGGUCUGACCUAUCCCUGGAGGAAGCACGGGCUAAGUUCGUGCCAGCAGCCGCGGUAAGACGAACCGUGCGAACGUUGUUCGGAAUCACUGGGCUUAAAGGGCGCGUAGGCGGAUUGCCAAGUCCGGGGUGAAAUCGUUCGGCCCAACCGGACAAGUGCCUUGGAUACUGGCGAUCUUGAGCGAGGUAGGGGCAGCUGGAACUUCCGGUGGAGCGGUGAAAUGCGUUGAUAUCGGAAGGAACGCCGGUGGCGAAAGCGAGCUGCUGGACCUUUUCUGACGCUGAGGCGCGAAAGCCAGGGGAGCAAACGGGAUUAGAUACCCCGGUAGUCC